UCAUGAUCCACCCGCCUCGGCCUCCUAGAGUGCUGGGAUUACAGGCGUGAGCCACCAGCCCGGCCCUGAUGAAAUUUUUUACUGCUGUGCACCUAACUCCAUUUUCCCAAUAGGUCCUGUUAUUUUUACUAUAAUUCUGCAAAACAUGAUUUUUAGGGACAUAUGUGUUGUAUUAAAGCAGAGUUGAUGAAAAAGAGCGCCUUUUGUCCCUCCACUUACCAUAUGCUGACUGCUGACAGUCUCUCAAAAUUCCAUGCUAGCUUUCCUGAUUCUACACAUCUGUAACAAAAUAUUAUUUGAGGCACAGAAACUUUAAAAAUUGAAAACAACCAUCAAAAAUACAUCAAGCCCUUGCUGUGCCAGGCACAAUACUAAGCCUUAGUAAGCCAUUUAUUUGACUUUUCCUAACAACUCUCUAUGCAGAAGCUAUUGUUAUACUCACUUUAUAGAUGAGAAAACUAAUGCAAAGAAAGGUAAAAUUGCCCAGCGCCACACAGCUAAUACGUGGUGAAGAAGGCAUGUGAACACCAGGAAUCAUUUUAUAGCACAUUUUCUACUGAAUCUGAUGAACUUGCAAGUGCCUGAUUGCAUGCUGCUCACUAGGGGUGUUGCCUGAGAGGUCUGGAUGGGCUGAGCUUGAGAAAGGAUCAACAUGCCUUUGGCUAGAGACUUACUGCAUCCAUCCUUGGAAAAGGAAAAGAAAUGGCCGUGAAAAGUUCAAAUUCUUACUUUGUGGAUAUAACAUGUCCUAGUUGCCACAAGAUUAUGAUGUUUUUCAGCUAUGUCCAUGAAAUCAUCUUUGCAAAAAUAACAAUGAAUAAACAAUGACAGUGAAAGGGAUCUAUCUGAUCUAACCAACUCCCAUCUUGCCUUGAAGCUCCAGUCUGCUUUAGUCAUUCCUGGGUUUGGGCCAAGCUAACUUUGGGAGAAAUUUAUAGUUUAAAUGUUAACAGCCCCUCCCCAAAACUAAACCACCUUUGUAAAGCAAAUGAAAGACCACCAGGUUAGGUGGAUGACAGGAGCAUGAACUCUGCUAAGGUGUAGACCUAAACAAUUACUAGCCAUUUUUCUGGAGGUCACAAGAUUUGCAACUUCCCCCAAUUACUCCUGCAGAUAACAUUACUAUUGUAGAACUUAAGAUUGGUCUUUUGAGAUGUCUUUUCUGACUUUUAUAUUUCUGACUACCAUGGCUCCACUUGGACCUGCCAACCAGUCCUGUGGCCCCACCAAGAAGCAAACUCUGCACACUUCUAUGAUUGCACCCCCAACCAAUCAGCAGUACCCAUUCCCUUGCCUGCCAAACCAUCCUUGAAAAAACCUAGCCUCCAAAUUUUCAGGGAUGCCUAUUUGAGUAAGACUCCAGUAUCCUGUUCAGCUGGCUCUGUGUGAAUUAAACUCUUUCUCUGUUGCAAUGCUUCUGUCUUGAUAAAUUGGUUCUAUAUAGGCAGUGGGCAAAAUGAACCAAUUUGGCAGUUACACUCAGACAGUGGAUCUUUGUGUAGGUUAUUCAACAGUGUUGUGCCGGCCUACAGGACAAAACACUAAGCUCACAGAAGAGUGUUCACUUAGAAGAAAGCAACACUAAUGAUCCACACAACAUCCUGAAUUUGUGUUAUGUCCCAGAAAGCCUUAUCAUAAAUUCAGUAAUUCUGGUUAAUCUACCAAGAUAAGUGUGUUUGAUUUUGUAAGGUAUAUGGCAGUGAUCUCCUAUUUUGGUGUUUUUCAAUAAAGUUUUGGUUACGGACAAAUCAAAAAUUGAUGAAAUUUUAUUUUCCUUUAAUAUCAGCUUAAAUGGUUCUUACAACUGUAAAGCUUUUCCUGACUCUGUAGGGAGGCAGUCACAACUCUGCUCUCAGAACUGAACUUUCUUUUAUUCAUUCGGCAAAUGUUUAUUGAGUACUUAUUAGGAUUGCUAUGCUAGGUGCUGGGAUUCUAACAUGGAAGGUGACUUGGCCAUUGUCCUCAGAAACUAACAAACUACUGGAGGAAACAAGCCAAUGGGCCACUUAGGGCAGUUGAAUAAGUGCUCAAUAAAAGUUUUGGAGGGCUCUGAGGCAGGGAAGAGGGGGAGAAGCAUGUUUAGCCUGCGGAAUAGGAGGUCAGAGAGGAUGCUUGAGCUAAGUAUUGAAGAGUGAACAGUACAGAUAGAGGGAACAGAACAUACAAGGUCAGAGGUGUGGAACCAUGUGACCUUUAGGGAAAUUACAAAUGGCUCUGUAUGAACAAAGUGAAGGGUGUGGGAGACCAGUGGGAGGGGUAGAGAGGAGCCAGGUUAAAAGGGUCUCAGAUUCAAGGAGUUUUGAAUUUACCCUGAAGGCUUAGUGAUGUGCUUGGUCAAGCACAACUGUGACCCAGAGUGUUCCCUCUCUCUCUUGUCAUAGCAUUGUGUGUAUCCCUCUAUUAAAGCAUUUAUUACAAAUGCCUUAACUGCAUAUCCUUCUGUCAUAGCAUUUAUCACAAUUCUAAUUUCCAUAUGGAGUAUUGCUGAAGAGAAAGCAAAAUGGAGAUGAGACCAGGUUGCAGUAAUCCAAGCAAGAAGUGACUGAGAGGAAGGCAUGGUCCUACAGAAACAGCUCUUCUGGCACGAUGGUGACCUGCCAUGGAAAAUGCUGGGUCCCAACGCCCAAGUGACUGUAGCUGUGGUUCAGCCAGGACCUGAGCAUUUUUAGAUCACCUGUUGUCAGACAUGCAACACUGUCAACAUAGUUCCUGUGGGUCAGCAGCCUGGACACAGCUUACCUGGGGUCCACUGCUCGGGAGGAUCUCACAAGGCUUCAAUCAAGAUGUCAGCCCAGGCUGUGGUCUCCACUGAGGCUCCAAGGGAAAGACCCUGCUUCCAAGCUCACCUAAGUUGUUUGCAAAAUUUGGUUCUUCGCAGCUGUAGAAUGGAGGGCUUCAGUUUAUUUCUAGCUAUGCGGUGGGGCGGGGUGAGGGAGCUGCCCUCAGAUCCUAGAGGUCACCCACAAUUCCUUGCCACUUGUCUAUGCUGCACAGAGGCGGCCCACGCAUUUCAGCUUGCUUUGCCAAAGCCAGCAACGAAAGACUCCAGCAAGACACAUUCUAUCAUCUUAUGUAUGCAAUCCUGUGCAGGCAAUCACGGACAUGUCCAUCACAUACGUAACCACGUCCACUCCAUCACCUUUGCUGUAUUCUUUUGGCCCACUCAAAGGGUGUGGACUAGUUAGGGCGUGAGAAUCAGCCCUCUUAAGUCAGCCUUCGCUAUUUCAUGUGCCAGCUUUCUAGAAUAUUGAUCCUUUUGGUAUUUUAAGUCAUAUCUGUUGUCAUUGGAAAUCCUCUUUGAAGUAGAAAGGACAGAGCUCACAAAAUAUAAACCGCACCACUAUUCCUGCCUGUCAUUUAGACGUUUGCCAGGGUAGCAGGUUGAUUUCAGUCUUUUCACGGAGUUUACUCUGAUAUGAUGAUAUCUUUACCCCCAUAAUUAAUUUUAUUUUUAUUUUUGAGACAUGGUCUCAUUCUGUUACUCAGGCUAUAGUGCAGUGGUGCGAUCUCGGCUCACUGCAAGCUCAACCAGCCCAGGUUCAAGAGAUCCUCCCACCUCAGCUUCCUGGGACCACCCCAGUGGGACCACUAGCGCAAACCACCAUGCCCAGCUAAUUUUUAAAAAUUCUUUGUAGAGAGGGGGUUUCACUAUGUUGUUCAAGUUGGUCUCAAAUUCCUGGGCUCAAGCGAUCCGCUUGCUUCGUACUCCUUUGGGAUUCCACAAAGUGCUGAGAUUACACGUGUGAGCCACCACGCCUGCCCCCUGCAUAAUUAAUUUUAAAUUAAUCUCCACAUUUCAUUCUCUUGGGCUAGAUUUCGGGGGAGGGGCCUAAUUUAGAUGGCGUGUGCCCCAUUGGGUGAAUCAAAUAAAAGCAUAGCUGCCCUGGGCCAGGCGUCGUGGCUCAUGCCUGUAAAUCCCAGCACUUUGGGAAGCCGAGGCGGGCAGAUCACGAGGUCAGGA